rnacentral:rRNA from 1 species
GGUUAAGCGACUAAGCGUACACGGUGGAUGCCCUGGCAGUCAGAGGCGAUGAAGGACGUGCUAAUCUGCGAAAAGCGUCGGUAAGGUGAUAUGAACCGUUAUAACCGGCGAUGUCCGAAUGGGGAAACCCAGUGUGUUUCGACACACUAUCAUUAACUGAAUCCAUAGGUUAAUGAGGCGAACCGGGGGAACUGAAACAUCUAAGUACCCCGAGGAAAAGAAAUCAACCGAGAUUCCCCCAGUAGCGGCGAGCGAACGGGGAGGAGCCCAGAGCCUGAAUCAGUGUGUGUGUUAGUGGAAGCGUCUGGAAAGGCGCGCGAUACAGGGUGACAGCCCCGUACAAAAAAAAUGCACAUGCUGUGAGCUCGAUGAGUAGGGCGGGACACGUGGUAUCCUGUCUGAAUAUGGGGGGACCAUCCUCCAAGGCUAAAUACUCCUGACUGACCGAUAGUGAACCAGUACCGUGAGGGAAAGGCGAAAAGAACCCCGGCGAGGGGAGUGAAAAAGAACCUGAAACCGUGUACGUACAAGCAGUGGGAGCCCUGAUUUAUCAGGGUGACUGCGUACCUUUUGUAUAAUGGGUCAGCGACUUAUAUUCUGUAGCAAGGUUAACCGAAUAGGGGAGCCGGAGGGAAACCGAGUCUUAACUGGGCGUUAAGUUGCAGGGUAUAGACCCGAAACCCGGUGAUCUAGCCAUGGGCAGGUUGAAGGUUGGGUAACACUAACUGGAGGACCGAACCGACUAAUGUUGAAAAAUUAGCGGAUGACUUGUGGCUGGGGGUGAAAGGCCAAUCAAACCGGGAGAUAGCUGGUUCUCCCCGAAAGCUAUUUAGGUAGCGCCUCGUGAAUUCAUCUCCGGGGGUAGAGCACUGUUUCGGCAAGGGGGUCAUCCCGACUUACCAACCCGAUGCAAACUGCGAAUACCGGAGAAUGUUAUCACGGGAGACACACGGCGGGUGCUAACGUCCGUCGUGAAGAGGGAAACAACCCAGACCGCCAGCUAAGGUCCCAAAGUCAUGGUUAAGUGGGAAACGAUGUGGGAAGGCCCAGACAGCCAGGAUGUUGGCUUAGAAGCAGCCAUCAUUUAAAGAAAGCGUAAUAGCUCACUGGUCGAGUCGGCCUGCGCGGAAGAUGUAACGGGGCUAAACCAUGCACCGAAGCUGCGGCAGCGACACUGUGUGUUGUUGGGUAGGGGAGCGUUCUGUAAGCCUGCGAAGGUGUGCUGUGAGGUAUGCUGGAGGUAUCAGAAGUGCGAAUGCUGACAUAAGUAACGAUAAAGCGGGUGAAAAGCCCGCUCGCCGGAAGACCAAGGGUUCCUGUCCAACGUUAAUCGGGGCAGGGUGAGUCGACCCCUAAGGCGAGGCCGAAAGGCGUAGUCGAUGGGAAACAGGUUAAUAUUCCUGUACUUGGUGUUACUGCGAAGGGGGGACGGAGAAGGCUAUGUUGGCCGGGCGACGGUUGUCCCGGUUUAAGCGUGUAGGCUGGUUUUCCAGGCAAAUCCGGAAAAUCAAGGCUGAGGCGUGAUGACGAGGCACUACGGUGCUGAAGCGACAAAUGCCCUGCUUCCAGGAAAAGCCUCUAAGCAUCAGGUAACAUCAAAUCGUACCCCAAACCGACACAGGUGGUCAGGUAGAGAAUACCAGGCGCUUGAGAGAACUCGGGUGAAGGAACUAGGCAAAAUGGUGCCGUAACUUCGGGAGAAGGCACGCUGAUAUGUAGGUGAAGCGACUUGCUCGUGGAGCUGAAAUCAGUCGAAGAUACCAGCUGGCUGCAACUGUUUAUUAAAAACACAGCACUGUGCAAACACGAAAGUGGACGUAUACGGUGUGACGCCUGCCCGGUGCCGGAAGGUUAAUUGAUGGGGUCAGCGCAAGCGAAGCUCUUGAUCGAAGCCCCGGUAAACGGCGGCCGUAACUAUAACGGUCCUAAGGUAGCGAAAUUCCUUGUCGGGUAAGUUCCGACCUGCACGAAUGGCGUAAUGAUGGCCAGGCUGUCUCCACCCGAGACUCAGUGAAAUUGAACUCGCUGUGAAGAUGCAGUGUACCCGCGGCAAGACGGAAAGACCCCGUGAACCUUUACUAUAGCUUGACACUGAACACUGGUCCUUGAUGUGUAGGAUAGGUGGGAGGCUUUGAAGUGUGGACGCCAGUCUGCAUGGAGCCGUCCUUGAAAUACCACCCUUUAAUGGCUGGUGUUCUAACGUGGGCCCGUAAUCCGGGUUGCGGACAGUGUCUGGUGGGUAGUUUGACUGGGGCGGUCUCCUCCUAAAGAGUAACGGAGGAGCACGAAGGUUGGCUAAUCCUGGUCGGACAUCAGGAGGUUAGUGCAAUGGCAUAAGCCAGCUUGACUGCGAGCGUGACGGCGCGAGCAGGUGCGAAAGCAGGUCAUAGUGAUCCGGUGGUUCUGAAUGGAAGGGCCAUCGCUCAACGGAUAAAAGGUACUCCGGGGAUAACAGGCUGAUACCGCCCAAGAGUUCAUAUCGACGGCGGUGUUUGGCACCUCGAUGUCGGCUCAUCACAUCCUGGGGCUGAAGUAGGUCCCAAGGGUAUGGCUGUUCGCCAUUUAAAGUGGUACGCGAGCUGGGUUUAGAACGUCGUGAGACAGUUCGGUCCCUAUCUGCCGUGGGCGCUGGAGAACUGAGGGGGGGGCUGCUCCUAGUACGAGAGGACCGGAGUGGACGCAUCACUGGUGUUCGGGUUGUCAUGCCAAUGGCACUGCCCGGUAGCUAAAUGCGGAAGAGAUAAGUGCUGAAAGCAUCUAAGCACGAAACUUGCCCCGAGAUGAGUUCUCCCUGAGACUUAGAGUCUCCUGAAGGAACGUUGAAGACGACGACGUUGAUAGGCCGGGUGUGUAAGCGCAGCGAUGCGUUGAGCUAACCGGUACUAAUGAACCGUGAGGCUUAACCUU